rnacentral:rRNA from 1 species
CCUACGGGUGGCAGCAGUGGGGAAUAUUGGACAAUGGGCGAAAGCCUGAUCCAGCCAUGCCGCGUGUGUGAAGAAGGCCUUCGGGUUGUAAAGCACUUUCAGUGGGGAAGAAAGCCUUGGGGCUAAUACCCUCGAGGAAGGACAUCACCCACAGAAGAAGCACCGGCUAACUCCGUGCCAGCAGCCGCGGUAAUACGGAGGGUGCGAGCGUUAAUCGGAAUUACUGGGCGUAAAGCGCGCGUAGGCGGUCUGAUAAGCCGGUUGUGAAAGCCCCGGGCUCAACCUGGGAACAGCAUCCGGAACUGUCAGGCUAGAGUGCAGGAGAGGAAGGUAGAAUUCCCGGUGUAGCGGUGAAAUGCGUAGAGAUCGGGAGGAAUACCAGUGGCGAAGGCGGCCUUCUGGACUGACACUGACGCUGAGGUGCGAAAGCGUGGGUAGCAAACAGGAUUAGAUACCCGAGUAGUC